CUGCGCGCGAGAAAGCGUUUGUAUAUAAAGACCAGACACUCUGUGCUGAAGGAAUUCGCAAUUCAUUCAAUCACAGGGUGCGUCAAUGGAGGCGCCGAGGAAGCUUUGUAGCCAUAGCCAUACCUCUACUUCCAAAACCUAACGAAAGAGACGAUCCAAAUCCCAAUCCAACUUCAAUGUCAUUACCACUCUCUAUCUCUUCUUCUCGCCGCCGUCUCCAUCCCUCCAGAGCGCUCAGGAAUCGCUUCUUGUUCGAUCAUAUCGCUCUGUAUAAAUGAACUGAUUGCUUCGAAUGAUGCGGUUGUGAGAGAUUUGAUCGCGACCUUUGCGUAUUCGAAGAGAAGAGUUGCGUUGGCUGCUUGUACUGCUGUUAUGGAUUUGUCCACCGCGUUGUUUGGGCGGCGGAGGUUGGUACAGGUCUCUCCCAUUGAGUGUCUUAUGUUCUCUGGGUUUGGCUAGUCAAUAUGGUGAUCCUUGUGUGUUUGUAUUGCCGUCAGAUAUUGUCUGUUUUGGUCCGUUACGUAUCGCCGUCAGCCUCACGGUUAAAAGACGUAUCUGUUAGGGAGAGGAUCUAUCCACCCCCUUAGGGGCCAACGUUAAAAGGUCUUCCUUCAGAGGCGAAAGUCUGAGGAUGAGAAUGAAAGGGAUCCACUGAAAGAAGAUAGAAAAGGGCAGUAAAGAGCAGGAAACAUUGAAUAAAAUGUGAGUAUCUCAUUUCUUGACUUUGUCUGCCAAAAUAAAGAUGAGCUUAUCUUGGGAUGGAAAGAGAUGGGUUUGCAGCAAUAUAUAUAGGCCAGGCUUAUGAUUUUGUUGCUAAUUCAGAAUGAAACAGACACAAUACCAACCAAGAAUCCAGACAACUGCCUCUGUCUUCAACCCAUUUACCUUUUUUUCAGCCGACUUAACUGGUUGAAAUUUCACGUGUUUGUUCCAUGCCAAACAGAACCUCUCAUGGCAUGGCCAGAUUGUUCAUCGCUGUUUUUACCCUUUGGCUCUCUCUCUCUCCCCCCUAUCUUUAUCCUGUCAGUUACAUGGUAAUAGAUGCUCGAUGCCAUUUUAGGAAAAUAAAAUCCUGCAUUUUCUUUUCUGGUUUUAAAAAAGUGGAAAAAAACCCCAUCUUUUCGCUGUCUCUAGAUCUAUUUUUACCCAAGUGAUAAGUUUGGAUUCGGGAUGAUGGGUGUAACGGCGGAAAGACACUGCUAGUAAAUAUUGUUUUGUUUGAAGGCUUCUCUUUUUGGCCGAAAGACACUGCUAGUAAAUAUUGUUUUGUUUGAAGGCUUCUCUUUCCGGACUUCUUCUUAAAACGCGUCUGCUAUGGAGAGAAUACUCCGUUCCUCUCUCUAACUGAUGUGGACUCUCACAAUCCACUCCUUUAGGGCUAGUGUCACAAUCGCCUUUUCUUGGCAAUGAAUUUGACGAUUUCCUCUUAAAACGCGUCUGCUAUGGAGAGAAUACUCCGUUCCUCUCUCUAACUGAUGUGGACUCUCACAAUCCACUCCUUUAGGGCUAGUGUCACAAUCGCCUUUUCUUGGCAAUGAAUUUGACGAUUUCCUCUUAAAACGCGUCUGCUAUGGAGAGAAUACUCCGUUCCUCUCUCUAACUGAUGUGGACUCUCACAAUCCACUCCUUUAGGGCUAGUGUCACAAUCGCCUUUUCUUGGCAAUGAAUUUGACGAUUGUGCGGCACUCACUCUCAACACUAAGUGAGUCAAGCCAACUUUGGAUCACGUUGCCUACAGUUGGACAAUGUAUAUUCAAGCCUCGGGCCCCGAUUAGAAAAUGGGGGAGAAAUUUUGGAAAAAGAGUUUUGAAAGCAAGAAUGAGAAAGAGAUUGAGAGUGGUGUUGUAUUGCAUGCAAGCAAAAAUGCGACAACAACUGCUUAUAGAGUAUAUAACUUUUCGGGUAGGGAAAAUUUGACAACUAGUCACAUCCUCUAUAGUACAUUUUGAGGCAUUUCAUGUUUACCAAACGUAACCAUGAUUUCGCCGAAACGUCAUACUCUUGAAGAAUGAAAGAAGUAAAAGAAAGCGGUAAAUUAGUAUAAGGCAAGGGUUUCAGCAUGUGACGGACAUGCGGCCAUGGACAACACGCCUUGGACAAGCAUGGCCGAGACACCCAGCAUCCUCACUGGCACUCGUUCCCUUUCCAAUCGAUGUGGAACCCCCCAAUCCACUCCCUUUCAGGACCCAGCGUCCUUGCUAGCACAUCACCUGAUGUCCACCCCCUUUGGAAUUCAGCCUCUUUGUUGGUACAUAGUCCGGUGUCUAGCUCUAAUACCAUUUGUAACAACCCAAUCCCACCGCUAGCAAAUAUUGUCCCAUAUGGGUUUUUUCUUAUGGGUUUCCCUUAAGGUUUUAAAACGCAUCUGCUAAAAAGAAGUUUUCACACCCUUGUAAAUAAUGUUUCGUUCCCCUCUCAAACUGAUGUAGGAUCUUACAAUGGGGUUGUCUUAUCUAUCAUUUUUUCGGGUAAGAAUUAUCGGUCAUUUUCAACUUAUAACCAAAUUUUUGGUCUAAACUUUUCGAAUUUUAUUGGGAUAUGUGAGAUCUAAUUGCGGAGGUUGUAAAGCUUGUAAAUUUGUGAAGCCAUGGAGAAUUUUGGUGCAGGAGGUAGGCAUUGUGGUGUGGUGUGGUGUGGUGUGGUGUGUAUGCAAUAAAUAUACGGAACUGAAAGAGGUGUGCAUUUUACAGCUUUUGAGCAUGAUUGAUUCUUGCAUGAUUAACAUCAUCACCAAUGGCUACUGGAGAUUCCAUGUGACAUUGAUUUGAAAGGGAAGUGGUAAUGUGAAUUAAUCAGCUGAUAUAUAAGUGUCAUCAACCCAGGCUUCAUGACAUGACUUCCCUUUUGUUUUCUUCCUAUGAAUGUGAACACCUCAGAUCUGGAAAUUUGAACUUU